rnacentral:rRNA from 1 species
AGAGUUUGAUCAUGGCUCAGAUUGAACGCUGGCGGCAGGCCUAAGACAUGCAAGUCGAACGGUAACGACACUAGCUUGCUAGUGGGCGACGAGUGGCGGACGGGUGAGUAACGCGUAGGAAUCUACCUAGUAGUGGGGGAUAGCCAAGGGAAACUUUGGGUAAUACCGCAUACGAUCUGAGGAUGAAAGGGGGCCUCUCUUUGAAGCUCUCGCUAUCAGAUGAGCCUGCGUAAGAUUAGCUUGUUGGUGAGGUAAUGGCUCACCAAGGCGACGAUCUUUAGCUGGUCUGAGAGGAUGAUCAGUCACACUGGAACUGAGACACGGUCCAGACUCCUGCGGGAGGCAGCAGUCGGGAAUAUUGGACAAUGGGGGGAACCCUGAUCCAGCCAUGCCGCGUGUGUGAAGAAGGCCCUAGGGUUGUAAAGCACUUUUAGUAGUGAGGAAGGCUUAGUGGCUAAUAACCACUGAGAUUGACGUUAGCUACAGAAAAAGCACCGGCUAAUUUCGUGCCAGCAGCCGCGGUAAUACGAAAGGUGCAAGCGUUAAUCGGAAUUACUGGGCGUAAAGCGCGCGUAGGCGGCUUGGUAAGUUGGAUGUGAAAGCCCCGGGCUCAACCUGGGAACUGCAUCCAAAACUGUCUAGCUAGAGUAUGGUAGAGGAUGGCGGAAUUUCCUGUGUAGCGGUGAAAUGCGCAGAUAUAGGAAGGAACAUCAGUGGCGAAGCGGCCAUCUGGACCAAUACUGACGCUGAGGUGCGAAAGCGUGGGGAGCAAACAGGAUUAGAUACCCUGGUAGUCCACGCCGUAAACGAUGAGAACUAGCCGUUGGACAUCUUGUAUGUUUAGUGGCGCAGCUAACGCGACAAGUUCUCCGCCUGGGGAGUACGGCCGCAAGGUUAAAACUCAAAUGAAUUGACGGGGGCCCGCACAAGCGGUGGAGCAUGAGGUUUAAUUCGAAGCAACGCGAAGAACCUUACCUACACUUGACAUCCUCGGAACUUUCUAGAGAUAGAUUGGUGCCUUCGGGAACCGAGUGACAGGUGCUGCAUGGCUGUCGUCAGCUCGUGUCGUGAGAUGUUGGGUUAAGUCCCGUAACGAGCGCAACCCUUAUCCUUAAUUGCCAGCGGUUCGGCCGGGAACUCUAAGGAGACUGCCGAUGACAAAUCGGAGGAAGGUGGGGACGACGUCAAGUCAUCAUGGCCCUUACGUGUAGGGCUACACACGUGCUACAAUGGCCGGUACAGACGGUUGCGAACCUGCGAGGGGAAGCUAAUCCGAGAAAGCCGGUCGUAGUCCGGAUUGGGGUCUGCAACUCGACCCCAUGGAGUCGGAAUCGCUAGUAAUCGCGAAUCAGAACGUCGCGGUGAAUACGUUCCCGGGCCUUGUACACACCGCCCGUCACACCAUGGGAGUGGGUUGCACCAGAAGUGGCUAGUCUAACUUCGGAGGACGGUCACCACGGUGUGAUUCAUGACUGGGGUGAAGUCGUAACAAGGUAACCAAGGG